CCUCUGAGAAAGAGUUUAGAAAGCAAGGGGGUCUAUUCUGAACCUCGUGACUCAACAGGAGGGUCUCCCUUACCCUUUGUGUCUUCGGACUCUGUUCUCUGUG